GGCGGCGGGUGAGGCGUGGAGGCCCGCAGGGGAACUGGCGGGAAGUGUCGCGAGAGGUGGAGGGAAUCGCGCGAGAUCUGGUCCUCCUAGAGUGCAGGCGGCCGGAGCACUGGGCACGCGGGUGGUGCGUGCAGCGUGCCCUCCACCUGCAGCCAAUGCACGGGAACUCCGCGAGGACGGAGGUCUUGGUGCUGAAGCCCCCACCUUCUGCAGGUGGAAGAAGUCAACUGUAUGCUGCCCACAAGCAGGUGGAUCCCAGACUGGCUGGAACCGGAAGGUUGAUGAUGCUGACUCCCAAUGACCUCACCACCAACCAAUCAGAAAAAUAUUCAUGAGCUGAUGAUGCCCUGCUUCUCAAACACUUAUGGCCUGGAUUUUACAAACAGCCUCUUUCCUGGCCUGCCGGACAGUGUCCUGGCCCCCAG